ensembl:lncRNA
AUGGAAGUAAUUACCUCUGACGCCGCCGACGUAGCGACCACUCUGAAGAAACUGCUGCGCUGUGAUGUUGCUUCCUGUCGUCCGGGCAGCACGUCUCCGUCGACGGCAAUGGAGAUGUCUCCGCCCUCUCGGCCCGCUCUGCGGCGGCGGCGUUCUUCAGAGCCCCCUGAGACUCUCCCGCGCUUUCAGCCGGAGGUUUUUCUGGGGGGGACGGAGGCCGACGGAGAGGAGGCGGCCAGGAGGACGGAGGAGGCCCCCGCCUCCCCUCAGUUCUGCUCCAAGCACCAGCGAUGGGUGAGGAGCAUCCUGCAGGAGUGCUCCGAAGAGCUGCCGCCGCCGCCACAGGCCCACGCUUCCUCGUCCCCGCUGCUGUUCCCGUCGUCCUCACCCGACGCCCCUUCAUCGGAGGACCUCACGCCUUCUGACAUCGUCCCGUUGCCCCCUGACCAACCACGUCCGCCCACGCAGACCGCCGCCCACCUUCUCGCCGGAGUCCAGGCUCCUGAAGGCGACCGGAGGUCCGGGUCCGCUGGAUCGGGGAUUGAUGCGUCUCAUACAGAACUUCCGCUCUCCUCCAGAGACACUCGCGCGUCCGUCCGCUUGUCCCCGGUGGUCCGACUGCUGGACAUUGCCUCCGUCACCUGUAAACCCUGUCGAGUGCUUCUGAAACGCUUCCCCGCGUCCGGUGUCAAACGGGUUCUCGGUCCGGAGGUGCUGACGUCUCCUCACCGCCACACCGCAGAGCGCGACGCCGGACCUCUAGCAACGAGCAAAGACCCUGCGACCCACCCAGCAGCAGCGACCGCCCCAAACGCCGCGGUCAAAAUGGAACCGGCUCCUUCAUCUCCUGCCGGCUGUCUGGCCCUCGGGGCCGAGACCAGCAGAGGCCCAAGGGUCCACGCCAAGCCGUCACCGCCGAGUCAGGCUUCGCAUCUGCCGCCGGACCUGCCGCGGACUGACCUGCCGCAGCCAGACCACCUGCCGCAGCCGGACCUGCCGCGGGACCACCUGCCGCAGCCGGACCUGCCGCAGCCCUACGUGAGGGUUUACAGAUUGAGUGCUCAGCAGUGCUGUCGGGCGACAAAGCCCAGAUCCUCCGUGGUACCAGCCAGCAGGCGGGACGAGGACGAGGACAAAGAUGCCGAUUCUUCCUUUGACGUCAACACUCUUUACUCGGGUGAUUCGAGCAGUGACAGCGAGGACCCGUUUCACGGCGACCCGGAGUAUAAACCUCGCUUUAAGAAGAAGAGACUCCCCUCGCAGUAG